rfam:Dissulfuribacter thermophilus strain S69 contig00020, whole genome shotgun sequence.
GUCACCGUGAGGUGAGGUCUGGAGGAAGCCUGAGUGCAAAACUGCGAGCCGAGGAACAGGAACUGCAUAAAAGGCCGAACACCCUGGGGUGAGUCAGCCAAUGAUGACAAAACCCUGUGGCUCAAGGGACACGGUAGAUGCAGCGGUUGCGCAGUGAAAGUCCAUGCU